GACGAACGCUGGCGGCGUGCUUAACACAUGCAAGUCGAACGGAAAGGCCCUGCUUUUGUGGGGUGCUCGAGUGGCGAACGGGUGAGUAACACGUGAGUAACCUGCCCUUGACUUUGGGAUAACUUCAGGAAACUGGGGCUAAUACCGGAUAGGAGCUCCUGCUGCAUGGUGGGGGUUGGAAAGUUUCGGCGGUUGGGGAUGGACUCGCGGCUUAUCAGCUUGUUGGUGGGGUAGUGGCUUACCAAGGCUUUGACGGGUAGCCGGCCUGAGAGGGUGACCGGCCUCAUUGGGACUGAGAUACGGCCCAGACUCCUACGGGAGGCAGCAGUGGGGAAUAUUGCACAAUGGGCGGAAGCCUGAUGCAGCAACGCCGCGUGCGGGAUGACGGCCUUCGGGUUGUAAACCGCUUUCGCCUGUGACGAAGCGUGAGUGGCGGUAAUGGGUAAAGAAGCACCGGCUAACUACGUG
rnacentral:rRNA from 1 species